UCUCCACGAUAUGGGAAGUACACGUGUUUCAACCUAAAAAAGGUUUGCAAGAACAGUUACAUGUUUUUGAACUACUUGAAGAUCGUACGGAUGUUUUACCAAGGGCAAGCUAACUGAUGGUGAUUAGUUUAUCUUUGUUACAAUAUCUACAUUACUUGGCGCUUUUAUGCGCCCAUUUGCAAAUCAUGGCCUUUAUGAUGAAUCAGUUUUGCCCCGUCCUAACCUGAUACGGUGGAGCGAAAUUAAUCGUUUUUGGCACAUGGCGGAUGUGAAAACACAAGAAUGGUAUCACACGUAUAAUUUGACUGAGUUAUGUGUCCAAACAUUAUAGAAGUAAGAAACAGUGAAGUUUCCGUAUGACGUUAAUGAUGUAAAUGUUAUUGGGUUGAUUCUCAAAGGGUGAAUUUGUUGCGACGGAAAGCUAUAUUUCACAUGUGAAGAAGAACCGCCCUUGCGUGGAUGUGCACAGAUGGUUCUUAAAACAAACUGUGAUUAGAAAAGUUUCUUGCUGUGGAUAAAGGGCCUUUAGGAUUAAAACAAAAACAUGUCAUCUUUCGAAGGUUUUCAGUCAAAAAUAUCUCUUGUGGAAUCUAUAAUUAAUUCCCAGUUGAUAUCCGCAGGGAAGAGGCUAUAAUUUUCCCCAAUGACCCUAUUGUGCAGGAAAUCAGUAAUUUGUAAUUAGCAUGCAUACCGAUAGAGUAAUCGCACGAGAACUGCGUAUGUAAUGAUUUAAUAAUAUAUGUUUGCACGGUUUUUAACCGAAUGACUGAUGGGCCCUGUAAGCCACCAUUGCCAUUCUCUUUCUUUCAUGCCGGUACUAGAAAGAAUGGUAUUACAUUUAGUAAAUUACAUACCAGUCAGAGUAUAUUAUGCUUUAAUAUAAUUUGAAAUGUCUCUUCUCGGCAUAAACCUCUCGGCCAUUUGGGUCGAGCUUUCGAAUCAUUUCUCUUGAUGAAAUUAAUAAAUAUUAAAAACUUUAAAAUGA